AGUACAGAUUCCCGGAGAAGACACAAAGAGAAAAAAGUCCUUACUGACUAUAUCUGACAAGCACAUAAUGCUCAAGGAGAUGCAAGCCUUUGUCCACCUAUCUCAAAAAAACCCCAACAUCUAGGGUCAGAGCCUGGCUCUAGUUAACUUGACAAUGGAUUUUGGGAGGCUCCUAAUGGACAGUAGAAAGAAAGGUGGUAUGGUGCAUCACUGUGAGACGCUGGCAAAUCUCCUUGUGUCUCCAACCCUCGGUCACUUCAUCAGCACAAUGGGGAGGAUAUUAUCACUUCCACACCUGUCUCCUGGUGGCAUCAUGAGGUUUAAAUAAGUUCCAGUUACCCAUAGUCAACUGAGGUCUGGAAGCAGAUGAUCCUUUUCCUGACAUAAUGUUAGAGCAUCAGUAAUAGCCUGAUGCUGUGUCACGGUGACUGUGUCAUUCAAGUCGCUUCAUCUCAUCAUGGAGACAUUUUAUCGUCUCACAUCAUCAUAAGAAGAGGAAAGAGGAAACAUUAUUCAAGAUAGACUUUGCUAAAUCAUUAAAUAAGCCUAAUGCAUUUAAGAAAAAAGAAGAACAAAGAAGAAAGAACAAAGAACAAAACAAAGAAAAAAAGAACAAAGUUUGAGGAGUUGUUCUACCUGAUUUCAAGACUUCUGUAAAGCUCACCAACUAAGACAGUAUUGUACUGGAGAAAGGAUAGACAUAUUGGUGAAACAGAGCAGAGUCUAGAAGUAUAGUCACACUUUUAUGAUCAACUGGUUUUCAACAAAUGUCGUUCAGUGGAGAAACAGUAGUCCUCUCAAUAUAUGGUACUGAGACAAUUGGACAUCCACACUAAAAGAAUAAAUA